AAGUCGUAACAAGGUUUCCGUAGGUGAACCUGCGGAAGGAUCAUUAAAUGAAGCAACCUAGGAGCCUGAGAUAUGGCCACCGGGAACACCUUCCACCCUUUGUUUACUACACUUUGUUGCUUUGGCAGGCCUGCCUUCUAGGCUGCUGGCUCAUGCCGGCUCGUGCCUGCCAGAGGACCCUUAAACUCUGUUUGUCUGUAGCGUCUGAGUACUAUAUAAUAGUUAAAACUUUCAACAACGGAUCUCUUGGUUCUG
rnacentral:misc_RNA from 1 species